rnacentral:misc_RNA from 1 species
UCUUCCCAAUUUAGGCAGCAACCAGACAGACAUAGAAAGCCUAGCAUCUUAAAUGCUAGAUACACAGAAUUAAAGACAAAAUAUGAAUGAAAAAAGAAAAUGCUAAGAGCCAAACACUAUUUGGCUUAAAUUAAACUGUGCUUUCCUUCCUCUACAAACAAAAUCAACAAGCAUUCCAAAACUCCAAUCUUUCUUUCUUAAUAAAACUUGAAAUGGAAAAAACCAUGCUUAUCCUAAAACCAAACUCAAUGCAAUUAU